ensembl:snRNA Gm24651 predicted gene, 24651
ACACUCACUUUGGCAGUACAUAUGCUAAAAUUAGAAGGAUAAGGCAGAUAGUAGCAUGGUCCUUGUACAAGGAUGACAUGCAAAUUCAGGAAGCAUUCCAUUUUUUUU